AGCUCAGUGAUUAAGUGCCUGAAAUAGGCAAUAUACGCUAUUCCGAUUUGUAAAUGAGCAGACUUUGGAAACAGAGAAUGAGAGCU